GGAGGUAAAAGCGAUCUGGCUCUGAUGUCUGCCAGCCCACUGAUUGUCAGAGUUGAUUUGGCUGACUUGGCUGGAUAGGAAGUGUCCCCUUUGUCUUUCAUUGCUCCACGGGUGUCCCUCCAGAAGCUGCAUGCUUGGUCAAAGAGGAUGACCUUGCCUGAUAGAGGAGGACAGUUCUUCAGUCAAGGGAAUGUGCGCAGCUCCACUUCCAGAAGCUCCCAACAAGGUUUCAAAUAUGCAACUUCCUUUCUUU
ensembl:misc_RNA 7SK 7SK RNA